CCUACGGGGGACAGCAGUCGAGAAUCAUUCACAAUGGGGGAAACCCUGAUGGUGCGACGCCGCGUGGGGGAAUGAAGGUCUUCGGAUUGUAAACCCCUGUCAUGUGGGAGCAAAUUAAAAAGAUAGUACCACAAGAGGAAGAGACGGCUAACUCUGUGCCAGCAGCCGCGGUAAUACAGAGGUCUCAAGCGUUGUUCGGAAUCACUGGGCGUAAAGCGUGCGUAGGCUGUUUCGUAAGUCGUGUGUGAAAGGCGCGGGCUCAACCCGCGGACGGCACAUGAUACUGCGAGACUGGAGUAAGGGAGGGGGAAGCGGAAUGCGCGGUGUAGCAGUGAAAUGCGUAGAUAUCGAGAGGAACACUCGUGGCGAAGGCGGGUUCCUGGACAUUAACUGACGCUGAGGCACGAAGGCCAGGGGAGCGAAAGGGAUUAGAUACCCCUGUAGUC
rnacentral:rRNA from 1 species